rnacentral:rRNA from 1 species
GGUUGAUCCUGCCAGGAACAUACGCUUGUCUCAAAGAUUAAGCCAUGCAUGUGCAAGUAUAAAAGUAUUUUAUACUUGAGACUGCGGACGGCUCAUUAUAUCAGUUAUAGUUUAUUUGAUGGUACUUUUUACAGUUACACGGAUAACUGUAGUAAUUCUAGAGCUAAUACGUGCGUCAAGGCCCGACUGGAGACGGAAGGGUUGUAUUUAUUAGGUAUCAAAACCAACGCGCUCGUUCGCGAGCAAACCUGGUGAUUCAUAAUAACUGUUCGGAUCGCAUGGCUUUACGUCGG